GUUAUCAUCAGUGUUGCGUUCCUCACGCGCUCACGCGCUCGUGAGCGCUCACUUUUCGCUCAUUCGUGAGGAGGAGCGCUGCGCGAGCUAGCUCACGUUUGCCCGCGCUCACGUUUGCUCCGAUUUUUUCAGCUCGCGUUUGCUCCACGCUCGCGCUCACGCUAAUAUUUCGCUCACGGAGCGCUCAUUUUGGACGUGUCGCUAAUCAUUUAACGUUUAUGAGAAAGUUUUUUUUUUCAAUUCUAGAUGGAAUUUUUGCGUAAGGUGCAGUAGGGCUGUGGAAAUAUGACUUUGUGAACAAAUUUUAUGAUAUAUGAAUUGGAAUAGCUUAUUUUCAUCAAUCAUGUUUUUACAUAAAAGAAUUUAAAGGCCUUAUUGUAGCAGAGAGGGGCGGAGGGGUAUAGACGCCUAAAUAAAAGGGCCUGUAAACCUUAGAAAAACUUACAAAACAAUGAAUUGAUUCAAGAGGAUUUAUGCUUUGAUUGCGGGUCAGAAUGAGCUACCAUUUAAAAAAGUUAUUCCGUUUAUUAAAUCUUUCAGUGAUUCAGUGAUUAGAAACGGCUUAUCAUUUCUAUAAGGUUAGUCUUUAUUUAGCAAACAUUUUAGAAAAUAGGGUAACAUUUUUGAAACAGUUCUAUUUUAAAUAUAUGCCUUAAAAUUCCUAAGGGUUGAAAUAACCCUUUUGACUCAAAUCAAAUAAAUUGUCAAUAUUUUUCACCUCGAAAAGGUUGGCUCUUCUUCCAACAAG